rnacentral:rRNA from 1 species
AACGAACGCUGGCGGCAUGCCUAACACAUGCAAGUCGAACGAGACCUUCGGGUCUAGUGGCGCACGGGUGCGUAACGCGUGGGAACCUGCCCUUAGGUUCGGAAUAACUCCCCGAAAGGGGUGCUAAUACCGGAUAAUGUCUUCGGACCAAAGAUUUAUCGCCUUUGGAUGGGCCCGCGUUGGAUUAGCUAGUUGGUAGGGUAAAAGCCUACCAAGGCGACGAUCCAUAGCUGGUCUGAGAGGAUGAUCAGCCACACUGGGACUGAGACACGGCCCAGACUCCUACGGGAGGCAGCAGUGGGGAAUAUUGGACCAUGGGCGAAAGCCUGAUCCAGCAACGCCGCGUGAGUGAUGAAGGCCUUAGGGUUGUAAAGCUCUUUUACCCGGGAUGAUAAUGACAGUACCGGGAGAAUAAGCUCCGGCUAACUCCGUG